rnacentral:rRNA from 1 species
ACCUACGGGCGGCAGCAGUGAGGAAUAUUGGUCAAUGGGCGGAAGCCUGAACCAGCCAAGUCGCGUGAGGGAAUAAGGCCCUACGGGUCGUAAACCUCUUUUGCCGGGGAGCAAGGGCGGGGACGUGUCCCGGCCCGGAGAGUACCCGGAGAAAAAGCAUCGGCUAACUCCGUGCCAGCAGCCGCGGUAAUACGGAGGAUGCGAGCGUUAUCCGGAUUUAUUGGGUUUAAAGGGUGAGUAGGCGGGCUUUUAAGUCAGCGGUAAAAAUUCGGGGCACAACCCCGUACGGCGGU